GGGUUGUGAGGUUAAGCGACUAAGCGUACACGGUGGAUGCCCUGGCAGUCAGAGGCGAUGAAGGACGUGCUAAUCUGCGAAAAGCGUCGGUAAGGUGAUAUGAACCGUUAUAGCCGGCGAUGUCCGAAUGGGGAAACCCAGUGCAAUUCGUUGCACUAUCGUUAACUGAAUACAUAGGUUAACGAGGCGAACCGGGGGAACUGAAACAUCUAAGUACCCCGAGGAAAAGAAAUCAACCGAGAUUCCCCCAGUAGCGGCGAGCGAACGGGGAGCAGCCCAGAGUCUGAAUCAGCUUGUGUGUUAGUGGAACGGUCUGGAAAGUCCGACGGUACAGGGUGAUAGUCCCGUACACCAAAAUGCACAGGCUGUGAACUCGAAGAGUAGGGCGGGACACGUGGUAUCCUGUCUGAAUAUGGGGGGACCAUCCUCCAAGGCUAAAUACUCCUGACUGACCGAUAGUGAACCAGUACCGUGAGGGAAAGGCGAAAAGAACCCCGGCGAGGGGAGUGAAAAAGAACCUGAAACCGUGUACGUACAAGCAGUGGGAGCACCUUCGGGUGUGACUGCGUACCUUUUGUAUAAUGGGUCAGCGACUUAUAUUCUGUAGCAAGGUUAACCGUAUAGGGGAGCCGCAGGGAAACCGAGUCUUAACUGGGCGUUAAGUUGCAGGGUAUAGACCCGAAACCCGGUGAUCUAGCCAUGGGCAGGUUGAAGGUUGGGUAACACUAACUGGAGGACCGAACCGACUAAUGUUGAAAAAUUAGCGGAUGACUUGUGGCUGGGGGUGAAAGGCCAAUCAAACCGGGAGAUAGCUGGUUCUCCCCGAAAGCUAUUUAGGUAGCGCCUCGUGAAUUCAUCUUCGGGGGUAGAGCACUGUUUCGGCUAGGGGGUCAUCCCGACUUACCAACCCGAUGCAAACUACGAAUACCGAAGAAUGUUAUCACGGGAGACACACGGCGGGUGCUAACGUCCGUCGUGAAGAGGGAAACAACCCAGACCGCCAGCUAAGGUCCCAAAGUCAUGGUUAAGUGGGAAACGAUGUGGGAAGGCACAGACAGCCAGGAUGUUGGCUUAGAAGCAGCCAUCAUUUAAAGAAAGCGUAAUAGCUCACUGGUCGAGUCGGCCUGCGCGGAAGAUGUAACGGGGCUAAACCAUGCACCGAAGCUGCGGCAGCGACACUAUGUGUUGUUGGGUAGGGGAGCGUUCUGUAAGCCUGCGAAGGUGUGCUGUGAGGCAUGCUGGAGGUAUCAGAAGUGCGAAUGCUGACAUAAGUAACGAUAAAGCGGGUGAAAAGCCCGCUCGCCGGAAGACCAAGGGUUCCUGUCCAACGUUAAUCGGGGCAGGGUGAGUCGACCCCUAAGGCGAGGCCGAAAGGCGUAGUCGAUGGGAAACAGGUUAAUAUUCCUGUACUUGGUGUUACUGCGAAGGGGGGACGGAGAAGGCUAUGUUAGCCGGGCGACGGUUGUCCCGGUUUAAGCAUGUAGGCUGGUUAUCCAGGCAAAUCCGGAUAAUCAAGGCUGAGGUGUGAUGACGAGGCACUACGGUGCUGAAGUAACAAAUGCCCUGCUUCCAGGAAAAGCCUCUAAGCAUCAGGUAACAUCAAAUCGUACCCCAAACCGACACAGGUGGUCAGGUAGAGAAUACCAAGGCGCUUGAGAGAACUCGGGUGAAGGAACUAGGCAAAAUGGUGCCGUAACUUCGGGAGAAGGCACGCUGGUGUGUAGGUGAAGUCCCUGCGGAUGGAGCUGAGACCAGUCGAAGAUACCAGCUGGCUGCAACUGUUUAUUAAAAACACAGCACUGUGCAAACACGAAAGUGGACGUAUACGGUGUGACGCCUGCCCGGUGCCGGAAGGUUAAUUGAUGGGGUUAUCCGUAAGGAGAAGCUCUUGAUCGAAGCCCCGGUAAACGGCGGCCGUAACUAUAACGGUCCUAAGGUAGCGAAAUUCCUUGUCGGGUAAGUUCCGACCUGCACGAAUGGCGUAAUGAUGGCCAGGCUGUCUCCACCCGAGACUCAGUGAAAUUGAACUCGCUGUGAAGAUGCAGUGUACCCGCGGCAAGACGGAAAGACCCCGUGAACCUUUACUAUAGCUUGACACUGAACAUUGAGCCUUGAUGUGUAGGAUAGGUGGGAGGCUUUGAAGCGUGGACGCCAGUCUGCGUGGAGCCAACCUUGAAAUACCACCCUUUAAUGUUUGAUGUUCUAACGUUGGCCCCUGACCGGGGUUGCGGACAGUGUCUGGUGGGUAGUUUGACUGGGGCGGUCUCCUCCCAAAGCGUAACGGAGGAGCACGAAGGUUAGCUAAUCCUGGUCGGACAUCAGGAGGUUAGUGCAAUGGCAUAAGCUAGCUUGACUGCGAGCGUGACGGCGCGAGCAGGUGCGAAAGCAGGUCAUAGUGAUCCGGUGGUUCUGAAUGGAAGGGCCAUCGCUCAACGGAUAAAAGGUACUCCGGGGAUAACAGGCUGAUACCGCCCAAGAGUUCAUAUCGACGGCGGUGUUUGGCACCUCGAUGUCGGCUCAUCACAUCCUGGGGCUGAAGUAGGUCCCAAGGGUAUGGCUGUUCGCCAUUUAAAGUGGUACGCGAGCUGGGUUUAGAACGUCGUGAGACAGUUCGGUCCCUAUCUGCCGUGGGCGCUGGAGAAUUGAGGGGGGCUGCUCCUAGUACGAGAGGACCGGAGUGGACGCAUCACUGGUGUUCGGGUUGUCAUGCCAAUGGCACUGCCCGGUAGCUAAAUGCGGAAGAGAUAAGUGCUGAAAGCAUCUAAGCACGAAACUUGCCCCGAGAUGAGUUCUCCCUGAGACUUUAAGUCUCCUGAAGGAACGUUAAAGACGAUGACGUUGAUAGGCCGGGUGUGUAAGCGCAGCGAUGCGUUGAGCUAACCGGUACUAAUGAACCGUGAGGCUUAACCUUACAACGCCGAAG
rnacentral:rRNA from 1 species